GGAUUUUUUUCGUUAUGCUGGCCUGGGAUUGGGAUGGGACAAGACAUUUUUCUGUGGGAGCGGGAUGGGACCGGAGAGAAAAUCCACUCCCGUGUCACCCUCUAAUCUAAAGCUCGACAGGCUGCACUUACAUCAGUUUAGUUUAUCAGGCCAGUGUUCACGAGGAGAGUUCCAAGGCCAGAAAGAACAAAGGCCUUUCUCACAUAAAGCAAAAAAUGGAAACAUCUCGACAAUCCCCAAAGAGGUCUGGGAAUAUAUUCUGGAGACUAACAGGGCAAAGGUUUGUUUUUUCACAUUGACAUUAACUACAAAAAAUUACAGAAAAAAGAAUGUCAAACUAACAGUUGAACAUGGUGGUAGUAGUAUGAUGAUCCAGGGGUACUUUGCUGCUUCAGGACCUGGACAAUUUGUUGCAACAGGGGAGUUUUCACAUAAUGUUGUGGUCACGUGACUGCACCACGCGAUCGCCAUCUCAGGUGGCAGCUGCAGCGUUUUUUCUUUGUUUUAGCGUGAUCAGUGAAGCAAAACUCCGGGACAUUCAUUUCAUUAUAGGGAAAACUUGCUAAAUUGUGGGUUGUGCUGCGCUUGGUGGUCAAGAUCAACGUUCAGUCCAUCGUCUGCCAGCUAUGAUAGAAAAUCAGUAUUAGAAAACAAAAAAACUGAGUACACAUUGUCGACUACUGCGGCCGAAUAAGAUAUCCAGGGCGGAUUUGGACGACUUGAACCUCACUCACGCCUGAGUGUGCAGUGGACAUUUUGUGACAGCCAGGAAAAACAAACCAGAGACCCAACUAGCAGAGGAACCAUAUGCUGGAGAAGAGGAAAUGGAGGCUGGAGCUUCAACAACGGCAGCAGACACUGGGGGUGAAGAUGAUGGAGAACCAACACUGAGAGACCUGACUGGGAUUGUUCAGGCAUUCAUGGGCUAGCAGGAGGCACAGGAGAUAAAAUUAAACCAAGAACGUGAAAAACAGCAACAACGGUUUAAAGCCUUAAAACAUCAGUUUCAGCUACUACAAAUGGAGGUUCACUCCCUGAACCCUCUUCAACUAAUCCAGAAACACAGGAGGAUGACUAUGAAGAUGUCCAGCGGGCCCAGGCUAUAUCUGCACCAGUCAAUAUACCUUCAGGUAUAUGGUGUGAGGACCAUCCCAUGACAUCCCCAAACAGAUGGGUUAACAGAGCACUUUAGAGACAUUAAGGACAUCCUUCAAUCAAACGAGGUGUGAAAAUUUUGACAGGUGGGCGGGACUUCCGGUGGCUGGGACAUCCUAGGGCGGGACUUCCGGUGGCUGGGCCUUCCUGUGACGUAA